rnacentral:rRNA from 1 species
AUUCCUGUUGAUCCUGCAGGAGAUUGCUGCUAUCGGGAUUCGACUAAGCCAUGCAAGUCAGAGGGCCUCUUCGGAGGCACAGGCGAACUGCUCAGUAACACGUCAAUAAUCUGACCUUAGGUCUGGGAAAACCUUGGGAAACUGAGGCUAAACCCAGAUAGGUGAAAGGUACUGGAAUGUCCUUUCGCCCAACGGCAACGCAUAAGGAUGAGUUGGCGGCCGAUUAGGCUGUUGGUAGUGUAAAGGACUACCAAACCUAAGAUCGGUAGGGGCCUUGAGAGAGGGAGCCCCGAGAAGGACACUGAGACACGUGUCCUAGCCCUACGGGGUGCAGCAGGCGCGAAAACUCUACAAUGUACGCAAGUACGAUAGGGGAAUCCCAAGUGCUCAUGUUCUGCAU